rnacentral:rRNA from 1 species
UACGAGGGGGGGCAAGCGUUGUUCGGAAUUAUUGGGCGUAAAGGGCGCGUAGGCGGUGCGGCAAGUCACCUGUGAAACCUCUAGGCUUAACCUAGAGCCUGCAGGCGAAACUGCCGUGCUUGAGGGUGGGAGAGGUGCGUGGAAUUCCCGGUGUAGCGGUGAAAUGCGUAGAUAUCGGGGAGGAACACCUGUGGCGAAAGCGGCGCACUGGACCACAUCUGACGCUGAGGCGCGAAAGCUAGGGGAGCAAACAGG